AGCCGCUGGCAGUCGCUCGGGCGCCCGCCUCACGGGGGACGCAGAGGAGGCGGUCCGCGGCCCCGGGAGCCGCCGGCGUGACCGCGCUGGCUUUCUCCGCGAGGCUCAGGGGCCCGGACACGCCCAGGACGACCUGGACACACGCAGAAGGCUGCGUCCUGGCACCUCCGGCCGAGCGCAGACUCACUGCCGCGCUCGGAACUCGGACAGCAGGGCGCGCUUCCGGGGUUCGCAAAAGGCUUCACAAAGGAGCCGCUGCCGUGGGCCCAAAGUGGAGCGCAAGUGGUAGAAACUCCAAAUGUUCUUUGUAAUGUAAUGUAUAUUAGAGAAAUGUAACCACGGAAAGGACUUGAACCACAGAAAGUUGGUGGAGGGAAUAAAAAGCGCGCUUGUCUCCUUCGAGCCGGAAUCGAACCAGCGACCUAAGGAUGACUCAUGAUUCGGAAAUCAACUACAGUCCUCCGCUCUACCAGCUGAGCUAUCGAAGGGACGGGCGACGGAGGUCCGCCUCCUGAGAUUCAAUAUAAACAGGAGAGCGCGCCCAACCCGCGACGGAGGCGGAUCUGCGCAGGCGCAACACGGUGCGGAGCGGGAUGUGCUGCGUGGUUGUGCGCGUGCGCAGAAAAGUAGUACAGCUUUGCUGGCGGGAGCUCUGGACCUGGGGUGUCCAGGACACUCGGGUGUCCGAGAAGUGUGGUGCCAGGACUCAGGGACCCCGACGCCAGCCCCGCUUGCCUGGCGCCCUUUUCCUUUACUGCCGCCGAUCGGGCGGCGACGCCUGAUAAGGCUCACGACUCUAUGGUCUCUAUGCCCCCCCCCACCGCUUCCCCGGCACAAGGGGCCAGUGGCGCAAUGGAUAACGCGUCUGACUACGGAUCAGAAGAUUGUAGGUUCGACUCCUGCCUGGCUCGGCGUUUUGUUACCUCCCGUUUUAAAACCACAGAUGAUCACAACAAUCCCCACACUGUGUCCCCCUCCCGACAGCAUGACUUUCUGUGGCUCCUCCAAACCACAAAUGCCCAGAGUGGUUUACGGCACGUUGGCCUUUCGCACCGUCGGCCGGGGGAGAUGCUGAGAGCUGGGGCACUGACGCGACCCCGAGGCCAGCCGCCCCGCGGGCCGUGGAGGACAGAGGGCCGCCCCCGCGGGCCCAGGUGGGAAGCCGCAAGGAAAAAUGAAACUUUGUCUGACAAAAAUGAAUUUGGACAUCUCAGGAGCGGAGAUACUUGGAUACCAGAGCAGACUACUCAGAAGUAAAGGGGAGACCCCUCACAAGGUGGUGAUAUUGUUGGAAAGAAGGUCAGACUUGGAAUCCCUCAGAGCUACCUGUUGUCAUGCAUGGAAGGCCAGUCAUCAAUGCCAAGGGCACCCUAAAGCAAAGGUAGGUGGAAGAGUUUAUUUUGAAGAAAAUUAAGGGACAUUGUAGAGCCAUAUUUGAGAGGAAGUGUUUUGUGUUCAAUAAACCAUUACUAUUACUCAGCAAGGACUCCCUUUCUCAGAAGUCAAAUGGAGCAGCCACUAAUGCCCAGUGGAUAUUCUUUUGUUGGAUUAAUUUCUGAUUCUGUAUCUACUCAUCUUCUGUAAUUGCUGCCUCUAGCAAAGUGGCAUGUGACAUCUGGACAUAUUAUUUCAGGAAAGAAAAAGGAA